GAUCUGCAGAGGCGUCCCCCUCAAGAACCUCACGAGAUCUUCCCGAGGUCAGAAAGACCUGGAAUCGCCAGAGGAGCGAGAGGGGUCCGGCAGACCCAUACACACCAGGACAUACAGGAGAUGAGUUGAGAAAUAGGAGAAAAUACGUGGUUCGUUUCAUCUCGGAAUACUUCCUUAAUCCCUGAUGCAGUGGAAAGACAAACUGGAGUCCCUAGGGUUAAUCCUUUUAAAAUUCAGCCUGGGGUGAAAAGUUGUAAUUAGGCUUAGAUGAAUAACCAUAACUAGAUGGAAAUUUAAAAGAAGAUUAAAUAGUAAAUAAAAGCUUGAAUUCCUUUCAGAAACAUACUACCCGGUUGACCCGCCUGGGAGGGUGCCCGUCUGUUCACCGAAAGGUCCAAGAAAUGAUCCCGCGAUUAUUUGGAGGCAGACGCGGACUCGAGGACUGUAGCCUUUGGCCGUGGGGCGGAGGGCAGGGCCAGAUCGCGUUGCUCUCACAGCACUGAAGGCCGAGCUCCAUGAGGGACAGGGAUGGAAUCCAAC